UACGUAGGGGCGCAAGCGUUUGUCCGGAAUUAUUGGGCGUAAAGAGCUCGUAGGCGGUUUGUCGCGUCUGCUGUGAAAAACUCGAGGCUCAACCUCGGGCUUGCAGUGGGUACGGGCAGACUAGAGUGCGGUAGGGGGUGACUGGAAUUCCUGGUGUAGCGGUGGAAUGCGCAGAUAUCAGGAGGAACACCGAUGGCGAAGGCAGGUCACUGGGCCGCAACUGGC
rnacentral:rRNA from 1 species